UUCCUAUCUUCAUUUAGUUUCAUUUCCUUUAGUAAAAUCCUUAAUCAUUUCCUCAAGUAGAAUCUUGAUCCUAAGGCACCGGAAUGAACUGGCCCGUGACCUGAUCAUUUUCCUUCCUAAUAAAUUUUCCGUCUAGCUUGUCACGUUGGUCCGUUCGCGGGUUCGUGAGCAGCAACAUUUCUCUUUCGUGACAAGCAACAUUCCUGUUGCAACUUCCUCCAGAGGAAACAAAUUUCUCGGUAAUCGGUAUUGUUCUCUCCCUCCGUAACUGCCCAAAAGAAUCUCUCAACUGUUCAUCGCGGCCCCACAGCACCUUCAUCAACUCUGCGAACGGUUACAAACGAUGACUCCCGACUCCCAAAACUUCCCCCUUUCUGAGCUAUUGACGGAUCAGUUCUCUUCCAUUUUCCUCCUAAAAAAUGAACGGGUUCGUGUCCAGGUCCAUAUUCGCGCGGAGUCUCCUCGGCGGCAGAAACUGUUACUGCCGCGGAUCGCCGUGGACCGCCUCAGUCGUGAGGCAUCUGGAAACGCACGGUGGGUCCCGUUGGAUGAGCUCGGUGGAGAAGGUCGAGAAGGAGACUGCAGUGACGAGUGCGAAGGAGCAGCCGCCGGCUGUAAAGAAGGAUGAGAAUUGUACGGUUUCGGGCUAUUGGGGGGUAUCGAGGCGGAAGAUUACCCGGGAUGAUGGGACUGAAUGGCCUUGGAACUGCUUCAUGCCAUGGGAUACUUAUCAAGCAGACUUGUCAAUUGAUCUGAGCAAGCACCAUGUACCAAAAACGUUAGUGGAUAAAUUUGCAUUGAGAACAGUGAAGCUCCUUAGAAUGCCAACAGAUAUUUUCUUUAAGAGACGAUAUGGAUGUCGUGCAAUGAUGCUGGAAACAGUGGCAGCUGUUCCUGGCAUGGUGGGAGGGAUUCAGCUCCACCUAAGGUCUCUUCGCAAGUUCGAGCAAAGUGGUGGUUGGAUAAAAGCAUUGCUUGAAGAGGCAGAAAAUGAGAGGAUGCACCUGAUGACCAUGGUGGAACUUGUACAGCCUAGGUGGUAUGAGAGGCUGCUAGUUCUUACUGUGCAGGGAGUCUUCUUUAAUGCCUUUUUUGUUCUGUAUCUAUUCUCCCCCAAACUGGCACAUAGAAUUGUUGGGUAUCUAGAGGAGGAGGCUAUACAUUCAUACACAGAGUACUUGAAGGAUAUUGACAAUGGUGCAAUUGAAAAUGUUCCAGCUCCUGCUAUUUCUAUUGACUACUGGAGGCUACCAAAGGACGCAACUUUGAAGGAUGUUAUAACUGUUAUCCGUGCUGAUGAAGCUCACCAUCGAGAUGUUAACCAUUUUGCUUCUGAUAUUCAUGUUCAGGGAAAGGAAUUGAGGGAGUCGCCAGCUCCAAUCGGUUAUCAUUAACAUUCUUCUCUGUGGCGAUUCAUAUGAGUACCUCAUUUUAUAUGUUUCUAGAGAUUUUGCCUCAUAAUAGCAGAUAACUCUGAAGGACAUGUCGAAAAUCAGGCUUAACAAGCAUGCGGGUGGGGAUAGAAAAAUAAAGAUUGAUUAGAAAUAUUAGUAUGAUGUCAAAUAUUUAUGUUUGUGUAAUUUUUCUUCUUUUAAAAUAAAUGAUUGUAAUAUGAAUAAUUAGCGCUCUGAUUUAAUAAUAAUUGAGUUUAUUU